rnacentral:lncRNA from 1 species
CCUCACUCGUUGAAGCAGGACAUCUUGUCUCCGAAGCGUUAAAUAUUGUCGAGACAGAAAUCUCUUUGAUGUAACUAGGCAUGCAUUGGAGAUCAACAUCGUACUCUGUUUGAAUCAUCCCGCGCUCUAUAAGCAAGUCAAUAAGAUAUUCAGAGAGUCUCAGAGAGGAUCCCAGCUCCCCUCCGCUCAUAAUGCAGUCUUCCAGUUGGAGUUUUAUGGCGCUCUUGUUAAUCUUUACCACUACAUUCUCCAGGUUUACGAUCGACAAAGGUAGUUCUCCAAUCAAUGUGCCAGAAAGAUCCAACUCUACCAAUGAUUUCAAUAGCCCUAUUGCGUAUGGAAGUUCUUUUAGCCUUGUAGAAUUCAUCAAAGACAAGUACUUAAGAUCCACUAGCUCUGAGAUUUCCUGAGGAAGUUGAUCAAGUCCGAGAUCUUCCAUCACUAGCCUUGACAGACCUGUAAGUUUACCAAUCCAAGAUGGCAAAUUACGAAUGUAUUGGCACUGAAUUAAGAUAAGCUCUCUCAGGGAAGAUAGACAACCAAUUUCCUUUGGCAAAUCUUUUAGACAAGGACACCAUUUGAUCUUCAAGCACUUGAGUUGCUCCAGUUUUCUAACUGAGCCAUCAAUUUCAUUCAAUUUCUCACAAUCUCUGAUGAUCAAUCUCUCUAAAUUCAAGCAUCCAAUAAAGUCUGGUGUUCUAGUUAGAAAUUUACUACCUUUGAGAUUUAAUACCUUCAGUUGACUUCCCGUCUGUAAAACAAUCAAAUUAGUAUCAUCAGAACACAUCGGAUCGAGGAAUUAUAGCAUGUCAUCAUAUGAUGAGACUGAGUAAAUGCAUGGACUGAGAUCUUACCAUGAUUUGGACCCAUCCGCUCCACUCGUCUAUGAUAAUAUUACCCGAAAGCUUGAGAAUAACUAGGCUCUUCAGCAAAAAGUUGUUUGCCUGAAGUUUUGAAGGGCAGUUGCGCCAACAAAGCCAUCUUAACUCUGGAAAUAUAUUCUCAAAAUCUCCAGUGAAGUUUCCUCCAUCCAUUUCAAGGAACCUUAUUUUCGAAAGAUCUGCAAAGUCUUCAUGAGUAAAGUUGUGUCUAGAUCCCAAUAGUGCAAGCGCUACUACAUUAUCUGUUCCCUGAUAAUAUAAACCAGAAUUAGUGAGCACAGGCAUCAAGUUAUACGAUGAACUUUGAAAACAUGGAAUAUAAAUCCUCUUUGAUUUUUUCCUAUAGAAGAAAAGGCUGAUUUUGUAUUGGUUCUUACCUUUCUUGCCUGGACUAUGUCUAAGGCCAUCUUGCGUGGCCACAAUCGGCUCCGACCUUCGGGAUUUAUAAUAUUCUCCCGACGAACAAUUUCUCUUCCGAGAUCUCUUAAUUGAUCAUGCAUCCAUAUUCUAUCGCCAUCAACAAUCUUGAUCAAUGACUUACGAAUAAGAACCUGAAAUUCAGCAUCUGGAAAAAGGUUGCAAGAUUCCCACAUGUAAAAUGCAUUGGUUUUUCUCUUCAUCACAAAGAAGCAUGCGAUAUCCAGAAAAAUUUGUUUUGUAUCAUCUUCCAGUGCAUCGUAACUUAUUAUUAACUUUUCGAGAACUUCCUUUUGGGGGACUUCCUUCAACUUCUUCAAUGCACCAUCCCAUGGUUCAUUUUUUAUGGUACGGAGAUACGAGCCUAUCACCCCAACAGUCAAAGGGAGUCCUCCGAUUAAAGCUACAACUUCUCUUGAAAGAUAAUCAAAAUCACGUGGAGGUGAAUCUGUGCCAAAGGCGCGCUUGCUAAAAAGUUGUAGAGCAUAAUCAAAAUGUAACUCCAUCAUUUCAUAAGGGUAAAUCUUUAUGGGCUGCAUUAAGACACUUUCUUCCAACCCUUCCACCUUGGUUGUAGGUAUUACCCUAGUGUCUCUAGUCGUGAUAAUGAUCCUACUUCUUGGACAAAACCAAUCCGGUUUUGCUGCUAGUUGCAUGAGUUGAUCACCAUCAUCCACAUCAUCGAGAACGAUCAAGACUCUUUUGUUAGGCAGUCUAUGUUUUAUCAUAUUUACUCCUUCGUCUAUGUCAAAGGUCUUUGGACGUGUGAGGUUGAAAAGGUCCCAUAGUAGUUUCUUUUGUAAUUUUUCAAUGCCAUUGAAUCGGGAUGAUGAUUCUCGAACAUCACGAAGAAAGCACCAACCUUGAAAUAGAGGAGAGAGUUCAUUAUAAACUAAAUUGGCAAGCGUUGUCUUUCCGAUGCCACCCAUGCCGUGAAUUACGACGACUCGGAUAUCAUCACAAGCGGGAUCUAACAACUUCUUAAUGUAUUCUACUCUGUCCGUUAUUCCAACCAAAUCAUCAGGAACAUUUCUCUCUCUUGUUUCCAUCCCACGAGAAAUCUCUUGCUUGAUAUCUCCAAUGACUACGAUGUGGCUGCCACAUUGUUGAAUUUAACGGUUAAGAUGCUUAAAACAUUUAUAUAAAUAGAAUAUCCAUCAGAAGCAUGACUUAUAAAUGGCAUACAUUUAGUGUUAACCCAUUACCAAAAAAAAGAAAAAAAAAUUAUGUGCCUAAACAGAGCAUAGAAUGGUACAAUAAGUAAAGUAAAUCAGCAUUACCGUUGGCCUUUAACCUUCCGUCCCUUGAUUUGAGCAACCUUUCUUAAAGCCUCCUUCCAAGGGUUCACUACAUGACGGCCUUGCUCCUCCUCAUGCCUCCUUAAAGCGUCUCCAUACAGUUUUGUUUCGAGCUUAAGAUCCGAGGGUUCCACGUCAUAGAAUAUUGGAAGUAUCUCAUGCCCUGUUCGUCCUCCCGAAGAAUCUGGAAAUGCACACGCCACCAUGUGUGCGAGCUCGCGGAGGCACCAUCUACUCGAAGCAUAUCCAGUGGAGAAGAUGGGUAUGUAGAUCUUGGAGUCCUCUAUUGCUUGCAGAAUCUCCCCCCUAAUCUCCUUGCCCUGUGGGAUUUCUUCGUCGUCCAUAAAAACCUGGAACCCUGAAUCGGUCAGGGACUUCCAGAGGCUAUAUGCAAAUCCAUCCCGAGUAUCGGGACCUCGAAAACUCAAGAACACGUCGUAGUUGAAGCCUUUUGGACAAUCACUUCUACUAUUACUGGCUGUUCCUAAGGCGGCUGCUUCAUCCUUCGUCAUUGGAGACAUGACGAAAUACAGAGCGUCUCUGUUUCCUCAACCUCUGGUUUUGUAAUUGCUUCACGUAGACUGGCUUUUGCUGUUCCCGAAAAUGUAGUUGAUCUGAAAAAGCUUCAACAUUCAACACUACUCAAGGGCCAAAAAGUUAACAGUACUCGGGACGCAGCCAUGAACUACCAUCUAUUCCGCCACAAUCAACCCUCCCAGCUAUUUCAGGAAACUAUCAUAGGACUUCCGGCCGCAGGAAUCCCCCCACGCACAAGGGCCCAAUAUUUCGCAUCGGCGGACGGCUCCCAAGAAACCUCCCAAAAUCAUGUCUUGAUCACCUAACACAAUCCGUCCACACAAAUCCAGAACUUCCUAACUCCUAUUCCACAAAACCGGCCCAUCCAGAACAACCAGUCCAGCUCGCCUCGCCAAAAAAGGCCCACUCGCCAGUAAUCACAGUACCUCCGAAAGUCAAAACUCAACCAAAAAAGGCCCAAAAAAUAAAAAUAAAAAUGAUCAGCCGAUGCCAACGGCAGCGGCAUCCGCUCGCCUCGACGGACGCAGCCGGGAGACGGAUGCUGGAGCCGCCCCGGAGCAAGGGGGAAAUCACUUGCCUCGAUGACGUUCGGCCGCCCCGAGGCGGACCACCGAAAGGCGCGGCACAGCGGGGAGGGGAUCGAGGCGGGUUGGGCGAUCCCUUCGGCCGGAGGAGGAGGGCGCGCGGGGGCGGAGCGAUCGAGCGUCGAGAUUGCAGGAAGGGGAGCGACGGAGAGGAUUCGGUAUUUACAGGUUUUAGAGAGAGAAAGUGGAGAGACAGAAGAAAGUGGGGGCCUCGUGAAAAAGAUGAAAAGAACAUAAACGAAAAGGGAAAAGAGAUCGAGAGACACACCGGAUCAACCUGACUAUAUAUAUAUAUAUAUUAUAUAUCUAAUAUAUCAUUUAUAAUUUUUUAUUUUAAAAAAAUCUUAAGUCAAUGAUGUUGACAGUAUUAAACCGCUUCUUAAUGAAGAGUCCAAAUAAUUUUAUACUAUUUUUUAAUAGCUUAGACUUUUAAUAUCUUUACAUCAUCAACAAUCAUAAUUUAUAAAAGAGGAAAAUGUCUAUGUGAGGAGUCCUCACGGCGCUCGCCUCCCUUAUUGCUUGGUUCUCGCCUUACUCAAUGCUCACCCCAUUUGAUGCUCUCAACUCGCCCCAUUUGAUGCUCUCCACUUGCCUUUCUUCGCUAACCUCGCUUAUUGUCGAACCCAUUGGGUUAGUCGGGUCUUUAAACGCAUUUUCAAGGAGUAUAGAAAAUGAAUUAUCGAUUGGUGUCAAGUUAACCUCGGAAUCGAACAGAAUUCAUUGGGUUAAUCCAGUUCUCGGUCGCCUUUACAAGGAGUACAAAAAGUGAAACAAAAAAAAAAUUAUCGAUUAAUUUCAAGUUGACCCUAGGACCACACCGGGCUCGCGAGAAAGACAAAAAGAAUAGAAAUGAAAAGGGAAAAGAGAUCGAGAGAAACACCGGAUCAACCUGAUUAUAUAUAUUAUAUAUCUAAUAUAUCAUUUAUAAUUUUUUAUUUAAAGAAAAAUCCUAAGUCAAUGAUGUUGAUAGUAUUAAAUGGCUUCUUAAUGAAGAGUCCAAAUAAUUUUAUACUAUUUUUGUUCUCACAUCAUCCAAAAUGGCAUAAAUAGUUUCUCACGAUAUCCUCUUCUAAUACUCGUUUUCUCAUGUCUUCUUUGUUCACUUAGUCUUCAAUUUGCUAAGAUUGAAAGAAACAACUUCCCCGCUUGCUGCUCGACAGUUGCCUCAUUCGCUUUUGGUCACUGGCGCCACUCGACGCUCGCCUCCUUUAUUGCUCGGCGCUCACCUUAUUCAAUGCUUGCCCCAUUUGAUGCUCUCAACUCGCCCCAUUUGAUACUCUCCACUUGCCUUUCUUCGCUAACCUCACUCAUUGUCAAACCCAUUGGGUCAGUCGGGUCCUUAAUCACCUUUUCAAGGAGUACAUAAAAUGAAAUAAAAAAAUUAUCGAUUGGUCUCGGGUUAACCUUGGAACCAGACCGAAUCCAUUGGGUUAAUCCAGUCUUUGAUUGCCUUUUCAAGGAGUACAAAAAAUGAAACAAAAAAAUUAUCGAUUAAUUUGAAGUUGACCCUAGGACCGGACCGAGCUUGCGAAAAAGACGAAAAUAAUAGAAACAAAAAGGGAAAAUAGAUUGAGAGAAACACCGGAUCAACCUGACUAUAUAUAUAUUAAAUAUCUAAUAUAUCUUUUAUAAUUUUUUAUUUAAAGAAAAAUCUUAAGUCAAUGAUGUUGAUAGUAUUAUAUGGCUUCUUAAUGAAGAGUCCAAAUAAUUUGAUACUAUUUUUUAAUAGCCUAGACUUUUAAUAUUAUGGCAUUAACAAUCAUAAUUUAUAAAAGAGGAAAAUAUUUAUGUGAGGAGUUCUCACGGCAUCCAAAACGGCGUAAAUAGUUUCUCACGGUAUCCUCUUCUAAUACUCGUUUUCUUAUGUCUUCUUUGUUCUCUUAGUCUUCAAUUUGCUUAGAUUGAAAGAAACAACUUCCCCGCUUGCUGCUCGAUAGUUGCCUCGCUCUCUUUUGGUCACUCGCACCACUUGAUGCUUGCCUCCCUUAUUGCUCGGCACUCGCCUUACUCAAUGCUCGCCCCAUUUGAUGCUCUCAACUCGCCCCAUUUGAUGCUCUCCACUUGCUUUUCAUCGCUAACCUCGCUCGUUGUCAAACCCAUUGGAUCAGUUGGGUCCUUAAUCGCCUUUUCAAGGAGUACAUAAAAUGAAAUAAAAAAAUUAUCGAUUGGUCUCGGGUUAACCUUAGAACUGGACCAAAUCCAUUAGAUUGAUCCAAUCCUUGGUUGCAUUUUCAAGGAGUACAAAAAAUGAAACAAAAAAAAUUAUCGAUUAAUUUCAAGUUGACCCUAGGAGCGGACUGAACCGAUUAAACCCAUUGGGCCAGUCCGAUCCUCAGUUACCUUUUUAAGGAGUACAAAAACUAAAAUAAAAAAAUUAUCAAAUGAUUCUAUGUUAACCUUGGAAUCAAAUCGAAUCCAUUGGGUCAGUCCGGUUCUCAAUCCCAGACUCAAUAGGGUCGAUUCUUGGUCCCAAAAAUUGAGGACCGACAUUAUGCGGGUUGGUCAUAGGGUUAGGGGGUGGACCGGCCCAACUCGGACCAUGUUCACCUCUAGUUAAAUCAGGUAUCGCUUGGUAAUUAUUUAAAUCCUUCAUUUAUCUAAUCAAAAUAAUUUUUUGAGUUAGGACAUAAAUUCGAAAUUAUGUGAAAUUUGAAUUACGAGACCCAAUUUUUUAGUUGUUAAGUUGAAUAAUUUCAUGGAAAUGAUAAAUUUAGAGAGUUGUGCUGGAGUUUGAUAAAAAUUGAUUUGGAGUAAAGGUUUAAUUGGAAUGAAAUUCUAAAAUUUUGUGCUCAAGCUUUGUGUUACAGAUGCCUUGGACUCAUGGGAGCUUCAUCAGCCUUACCUACAAUCUAAGUAGCAUUGACACACGACACGCGACACGACACGACACGCCGACACAUUGCUUCUAAAAAAAUAGAGAAUUCCGACACGUUGGGACACGUUGUAUAUUUAUAUAUACAUAAUAAGUUAUCAUUUUUAUGAUUAUUUCAAUCAAAUUAAUUUGAAUCAAAUUCAUAAAUAAAUAAAUAAAUAAAUAAAUAAGCCUACAAUGAAUAUACACUAAAAAUAUUAAUCCGGCAUUUAUUAAUAUCAUUCAUUGUUUUAAUUUGACAAAUUCAACUUUGUUUCAAUAAUUCAUAAAACUUGGAGAAAAAAUAAGCGACCAUAUUCUGGACUCGCAUAUUAGAUAUGUUGGAAGAGGAGAAGAAAACUUAAGGGGUGAAUUGUGUAUUACGGGAAGUGAGAGUCAGAAGAGAAGAGAAGAUUAGGUUUUUCUUCUUUCUCUAUUUAUUAUUUUUAUUAUUGUGUUUUAUUUUUUCACAUAUAUAUUUUGACAUAUCAUUUAUUGAAUUUUUAAAAUUAACCUCGAUAUCGGAAUCAUGUGUUGGAAAUUCGUAUAUUAGAAUUCCAACUCGAGUGUCAGAGAGUGUCGAGAAAGUUAACUACGUGUCGGAUUUUCCGACACGUGUUGACCGAGUGUUGGAGAGUGUCGGACAGUGUUGGACAUGUGUGGAAGUAUCCGACACAACAUGAAAUGACACGAAAGCUCUUGGAGAGUGUCGGUGCUUCAUAGCCUGUAAUAACGAUCACAACCUUUUCAAGAGGCAUUGAUUAUCAAUGUUUUCAGGAAUGCUCCUCAAUCGGCAAAGCAUCUCUUCACUGACUUUAGUGAACUUCAAGAAAAUUGAUUUUUUUUAAAAAAAAAUGCAGUUUAGGAAAAACGACUUGAAGAGCGAAGAUGACGUUCCACAUGGCUACGGCUUCUUCCAUUUCCACAGGAGCCAUGUACUUUGCGAUGCUGCUGAUUGGUUGGAAAACUCAUCAUCCCCUGAAAAAGUAUGCUUCCCCUCUCGCAGAUGUUUAGCUUGCACUGACUGUUUGCAUUUCUAUUUCUUAGGAUAAUCAUUUUUCUUGUCCGUCCUAAUGCCACAUUUUCAGCAUUGCAUGUGGCUAUUAUAGGAAAAACCCUUUCAUUAUUGUCAUCAACAUCUGUUUUGGUAGAGCUUCUAUCAGGUUGUUUGAUAUGUGUUCCUACAUUUGCUUCUUUAGCACUUUUAGUAAUAGUAAUGCUAUUCAUUAGCGAAGAGUUAUUGUAGCUUCUUCACUGGCUCAUAUGUUUCAAGGGAAAAGCCCGAGUAACCUUGACAAGGAAGAAGUCCUUGACUGAAAAGGCAGUGAUCUCAUGCUCUCUUGCUAACGCCCUUUUGCAGGUGGACUAUUGAUGCGAGCUUGACAAACACUUGCGUCAGGGUUUUGAACGAAUGGCUAGCGGUUUGUGUAUACUGUAAGUACCCAAAGAAACAAAAAUAAAUCUAGACUGCUCAAACCUCCGAUGCCUCUUUUCAAGGUGCUUCAUCCCAAGUGAAGACUGUGUUAAAGUCAGAUUUCUGAUGCAAUGAGUUCAAUCUUAAUGCAAUGUGGAUGCUUGUGGCUCAAAUGCUAUGGAAAUGCAGAGAAUUUGGUGGAAUCCCGUGAAAAGUUUGGAAUGUCUUGGAAUUCUUUAACUAGUGUCGGUCCGAUUCAGUUGUUGUCCAUGCGACAUGAGUUUAAAGUCGCAACUAGCAUAGGGAGCUGUCCUCGGAGGCUCGACUCAACUAGAAAACCAAUCGCGAUAAGAGACUGGAACUUGAUCCUUUUUGUGGGGCAAAUGGUGCAUUUGGGAGUGGCUUUGCCAAGCCACUUUGGGCAUCCAAAGCCCUUUGGGCUAAAAAAAAUGGUGUUUGAGAACUUCUUUUCUAAACAUACUUGGGGAAAAGUGAACCUUUGGAAGUCUGAAAGCCCAAGGUUGCCAUGGGGCUGCUUAGGGCAUUCGGCCUUCUCAGAAUUUUGAGGGGAGAGUAAGACAAAUUUUUUUUUCCACAAAUGUCCUCCCUAACAUUUCGUUUUUCGGUUUUGUCCUCGUGACUAUUCACCUUCUUCUUCAUUGAGGUUGGCCAGUGACGAGUUGGACAGAGGUCGGCAUGAGACCGGUGUGGUCACGACGACUGUCGGCGGCCAGUUGCAUGACCUCAACAACCCCUGCGAGUCGCGUCGCCGUGACUAUUGCAACCCUCAACAACCACCCAGAUUUGGGUCAUAACAAGGUUGUGCGACCGCCGCAACCUUGGCGACGCUGUGACCCUCGGCAGAUCUGAGUCACCGAAGGUCGCCGCAACCCAAAUCUAGGCCGCGCAACCUCCGGCAACCCAAAUCGGGCAUAGAUUUGGGUCACCAGAGGUCUCGCCACGACCUAGAUCUGGGCCACGUGCCCUCCAACGACUCAAAUUGAGCGAUCGGGAUCGCGCAAUCUGAUUGUGGCGACCUCGAUCGCGACGACCCUCGCCGCGUUGCGUCCUCUGCAUGAUGACCCUCGCCGGACCACCUGCCCCCCGCCGGUAGUAACCCGCCAAUUCUCCUUCUUUUCCUUUUUUUUUAAUGACAAAAGUCUUUUGCAAAGUUAAUUUAUCCAAACACUAUUUUGCUCAAAGAUAUUUCAUAAUGAGCUUUCAUAAAUACGAUUUACCAAACACAAUUUGCAUUUGAAAAAACUCCUUUAGCUCAAAGGCCUUUAUAUUUUCUCAAUGACUUUUCCCAAAAGUCUUUCCAAAUGCACCCAAACUCUAUCUGCAGUGGAAAAAUAGGGAAAAGUGGAAAAUAGAGAAUGAUAGAUAGUGGUUGACAAGGCAAAUGCAUUUUGCCCCUGUAGGGAUGAAUUUGGUUUUGUACCAUACGAGAGAUUGACAAGCCAAAGGGUUUUAUGGUGUAAAAGUCUUAACUGAUUUCAGUGCAAAGAGCAUUGGUUUAGCUGAUUAUAGAGUUCGCUACUACUGUCUCAGUAGAAAGAUGCAACAUUAAUCCUGAAGCUUUCUCAAGGAUGAUGCUAAGUUUGUAAGGUGAAAAGGCGUUUGCAAGAACUUGUUCAAUAAGACACUCUCUAGCCAACCAAACCUAUACAUUUAGAAAAGCAAGAAACAUGAACCGUCAAGACUUUCUUAAAAAUAAUCACGAACCGUUAAUUUUUGGAUAAUCCACCGGUUUAAAACCAAUGGACCAUUAACAAGCACAAGAGGGCAUUUUUUUGUAAUUUUGCAUGGAACUGGCUUUUUUGGCCCAAGUCAGUUUAGCUGCUAUAUUAAGGGAGUAAUCUCUUAUUAAAUGCUGUAAAUUAUGUUUAGGGGCCGAGGAUAUACUUGGUUGACUUGUGUGGCUAUUUUAGCGCUUUGACAAGGUAAAGAUUCUUUUACCACUUUUAUUAUUAUUUUUUUUUGGUAAAAUUUAUAUCACAUGGUUACUGAGAGGAAAAAAGUACCAUAUCACGUCAUGGCCUGUAUUUAGAGCAUGGAUGGAAAUAGAUUAUCUUGAGGCAUGCUAAUUCAUAAACCUCUUAUCUAUAGGUUGAGAUAUUAAAGUGAUAUACAAUAUGCGAUGUUGCAUUAUGUGAUUUAAAUGGGAAUAUUUGUGCUUUUUUGAUAUGCUGCAUAACCGACAUAAAAUCUGCAUGAAUCAUAGCUUGAUCCCAUAGAAGUGGCGAUUGUCACAUACUGAUCCAUGGUUUUGAUUACCUUCUUUUCUUACCAUUUUAGGGUCUGAAAAAAAGGAAAAAUUACUCGAAUGCACCUGGGGAGGAAUUUGGGGAUGGUAUGAGAAUUUACUUCAUAAUGUUAAAUAAAGAUUACCGAAUUGGUGUGCUGGUUGUAGUUUGUUGUGGUUGAUGUUGUUCUUUCUAUUCCUUGUAUCUUACUUCGGCUCCCUUUCACUCAUCCUGACUUUUUGUCUUCUUGAGUGCAAGUUUUUGGUGUCAUUCUUUUGUAUAUUUGGUUAAAGCUAUCUAUUUAUUCUUACUUUACCAAAAAAAAAAAAAAAGAUUACUGAAUUGGGAUUUGUAAAUUUCUAGUUCUGGUUAAUUCGUGAUAUAUUAUAGAUGACCUUAUUAUAGGGCAUUAUACAGCAAUAAUAGGGGAAAUAAGGAAAAGGAAAACUUGGACGAUGCAAUCUCUUUGAAAAUCAUGUAGGUGUCUUUGUCUGGUCAGAUCAGAGAAUUCCUGUCUUAAGUUCCUGUCUCUCCAAAUAUGCCGAUUCACCUUCUUUCUUGACAGAAAAUGCACCAUGGACAACCACACAACCCCGAGAUGAACUUUCCAAAAGAUCAUCUGUCCAAUACCUUGUAUAUGGCGAGCAAGUUUUGAGCGGAAGUAGGGUAACAUUGGAUGACAAAAGUUAGAAAGAACAGAUGCAAGUACGUCAUCGGCUUAGGAAAUAAAAUUUCGUCUUGCCUUAGGAAAAAAGAAAUUUGAUUGACGUCAUUGAUUGUCACCAGAAAUAGUUCUAAAACUUUUUAAUUAAUUUUCCAUUUUAAAUUUGUAAAAAAAUAAAGAGAUUUCAAUAGCUAGCAUUACUGAAAUGAACCCCCAUACAAGAAAACUUUAAAAACAACAAGAGAAUGUUUUAUGUAUUUGGUCUUAUCAUUUCUUGAUAUCUGAUCAAAACCAACAAUCGAGAAUACUAUCAAUCAAACAAUUUAAUAUAACAUUAUAUAAUCCAAAAAUAUUAAUGACAAACUUAUUUUCGUGCAUUAUUAUCCAUUGAUUUCAUCUCAUUAACUUCAUGAAGUGACAUGACAGACAACAUAUUUCACAGAACUCCCCUAAUUUAUCUAUCUCCCAAAUAUUUUUCACUCACUUUCUCUAUGUCAUAUAUGAUAUUAAAAUUUUUAUGUACUAUAGUAAAUUUUUUUUGUUCUUUCCGUAUAUAUAGCACCGGCAUAAGUCCAGUGAUAUAUAAAAUUCCUAUCUCAUCAAAACAAAGAGUGAAAGAACACCAGUAUUUAAUUCUUCGAGUAGGACAGUGGUUAAAGCCUUCGCUGACCAACAACGUUUGCAAUCAAAAUUCCUAAAAACUCAUGGGAAAAAAACUUCAGAUUACCGCUCAUGAGAUUGAUCAAUGCAGUCUACUACGGAUACAAGCUCCUGGAGGCACAACCUACUCCUAGAUAUCCAGCCAGUGGAAGGUUUUGUUUCUUCUAGGAUGAUUCUUCCACCACAAAUGAACUCAUAAAGGCACUCGAUGAGUCUGGUGCGCAGAUCGGAAACUCGAAAGUUGAAGAGAAUGUUAUAGUCACUACUUCUCAGUGUCUCUAAUGAAUUGACAUUUCCAUUCGUCAGAGGAGCUGCACAGAGAUUAAUUCUUUAAGUUUGAAGUGAUUCAUUCUUCCGAUUUUUCCAUCUAAUAGUUCUUUAAGGUUUGCAGACUAUGUAAGACAAUUCAUUAACACACUAAAAUCUGGCGUGCUACAGAACCAGUCCAAUGGACUAAUCUCAGGGACUGAUUUGCAAAUCAUCUCGGCAAUGGGACUAAUGUGCAGAAUGAGUCCAACUGGGAUUGAUUAUUAACACCCAAAUUUUUGUUGACAUUUUAAAAUAUCCAUUUAUUUUGCAAAAUAUAUAAAUUUAUAAAAUGAUACAAAAAAAGAAGAAAGGAAAACGAAAAAAAAACGGAAAAAAAUGAAAUCAAAAUAAAUAAAAAACGAAUGGCCGGCAUGCCCGACACAUUGGCAUAACCUUGGGCCCUUCCCCCUUAAAAAUACUUCUCCUUUGGCCCAUCCUUUCUUUUCUUUUUCCAGCCCAUUUACUUUGUAUUUUCAAAGCCCACGAGAGCUUAACAAAGCCUAGCCCAUAUCAACUCUUCCUCCUUUAGCGCAACUCGCGUCUGUGAUGCAAGAAGGUGAAGGCCGUUGAGAAGGAAAAUCCGAUCGCCGGAGCUCAUCGCCGGUGCUCAGGGCUUCGACUGAGAGAGAGGUCUGCUCGAGAGAGGAAAAACGGAGAGAAAGAAAAACCAGAGAGAACACGCUGGGUAGAGAGAGGGCCAUCGAAGGACGAGAGACGUGCUGGAGAGAUGGAAGGCUGGACGCUCACUCAACAAAAAGGGGGCGAUUCUUGCUCCUUCUCCUUCUGGGGGGCUAAAAACCACAGAGGAGAGCGCAGAAAAAGGGAGAGGAGCAUGGCUGGUUUUGAAGAGGUGAGUCUUUGGCAGAAGAAAAGAAAAGAAAAAAACAGGGAAAGAGAGAGCUUAAGGGUGAGCAAUCGAGAGAGAUCGAGAGAGAGAGAGAGAGAGAGAGAGAGAGAGCAGCCCGGGAAAGGAAUUUGGUAGAGAGCAGGAGAGAAGCUCGGCCAUGCUCGAGACCCCGUUUCCCGGCGCUCUUUUACCGGGUAAACUUUGUUCUUUUUUUUAAGCUCAUCGGGCCGAGGCUCGCUGUUCUUCGGUUCGCUCGAAUCCCGACCCCGGCCGUGCUUCAUUUUGUUGCCUCUAGACCCUGCUCGGUUGUCCAUAUCCAUCUGAAAGCUUUAUUAGAUGGGCUUAAGGCCCGUCCGCCCAAGUUGGGCCCAAAAAGCUCGGCCCAUGGGAAUAGGGCCCGUGGAAGGAGAGAGGUAUAAAAGGGAGGAGAGAGAGAAAAAAAAAAUACCGUUUUUUUUAGAAAAAGAAAAGACGUACGUUCUCUCCACGCUCUCGCUCUCCCAGAAGAAAAGACAGUAAGCAUACGGCUUGUUCUUUCUCCCUUCAAGGCUUCAUCGGAUCGAAUUGCUCAGUUUCUCUUCCUCCAUCAACGUCGGUGUUUAAUCUGUGGCUAAAAGGUACGCUCGAAUCCGUGGUGUGCUUUUGGAUCGGUGAUGCAUGUUCGUUUUCCCGGGCUUCGUCUUCCGCAUUGAUUUAGAGGUUCGAUUUAGUGUCGAAUCCGGUAUUUCGGGGAUCAGUCAUUCCCAACAUUGGUAUCAGAGCCCUGUUUCACGUUUUCCCGAUUUGUUUCGAUGUUUUUGAUUGAUUUUUCGCGAAAGUGUUUCGGCCGUACGGAUCGGGGCGAGAAAUCCCGACACCCGAGCGUUCUUCGGCCAUUUCAAUGGGUUUUUGUAAGUCGAAACUGUUUUAUGAAUACAUGGGAAGAAAGGCGAUGUCGAGAUGAGUCUGGCGAUGUGUCGUGCGCCGUCGGGAGACGCUGCACGCGCCCACACGCGCGGCCAGAAGCGGAUGCGCGUGGGCGUGACGCGCCCGGAAGCGCUGGCUCGCCCAGCGCGUGCGCACCGCCGGCCGGCAAGUCGGCACGCGCCGGUCCGCGGACCGACGCGUGCUGACGUCAGCAUGACAUCACCCAACGGUCAAUAACCGCUAGGGUGACGUCAGCACGGCGACGUUAUCGCCGGCCGGCGACCCGACCGGCGACCGGCGACCUGACCCGCGCGCGGCACGUGCCGGCUGACGUCUGCGUGACGUCAGCCCGCGCACGCGCACGGCACGUGCCGUCGGUUCGCGCGAACCGGGCCCACCGGCCCGACCGGUCCGACGACCGACGACUGUUGACCGUUGACAUCCGUUGACCGUUGACCGCCGUUGACCGACGACCGUUGACCGUUGACUUUGACCGUUGACUUUGACCGUUGACCGUUGACCCGAAAAAAAAAGAAAAGAAUUUGUUUCUUUUUUCAAUUAUGUCUGUGUGGGUUGUAGGUAAUCCAUUUUUAUUCUGCAUUUGUUGCAUGAAUCAUGGAAAUUUAUGUAUUUUCCAUUUUGUUUAUUAUGGAUUAUAAGUGAUCCAUUUUUAUUCUGCAUUUGUUGCAUGAAUCAUGGAAAUUUAUGUAUUUUCCAUUUUGUUUAUUAUGGAUUAUAAGUGAUCCAUUUUAGUUCUGCAUUUGUUGCAGGAACUAUGAUGCGUUAUGCACGGAUAUCUGCAAUCCCAAGAACGGACGAAGGAAGAGCUAGACUGAAAAGGCUGAUGAAAGAGUUAGCUGAUUAUCGGUGGCUUGAUGGUGAUUUAGUAUCACACAUGGUCAAGGUCAAUCAGAUGAUACAGGAAAUCAUCUGGAAUGGUUAUCUUAUGCCAGACUUUGAGAAGGUGCCGGCUUUGAUGAACACUCUUCCACUUGAAUGGCAAGCAGUGUUAGAUCGGCUAUGGGAGGUCAACGUGGUCCCGGAUUACAGGGGGCUAGUGGAAGGUUUUGUAAGAGAGUACUAUAGGAUUGAGUUGGCCAAAACUUCAACCCUUAGAUUGAGCACCACAUGGCGCAGAGUGAAUGCGCCUUGGUGGCGACAUGAGAGCUCUCCAAAAGUUUUUCCAUGGUUGGCAAAUGUACCUUCAGUUUUCUCAGAUGUUUUGACUGAUAGAUUAGAAGGGACAUUCCCUAAUUAUUUCUUAGAUUAGUUUGGGAUGUUAUUGAGUGUGAAUAUCUUUUUUCUAUGUUGAUAUUUCUUUUUGGACAUAUUACUUAGUGUAAUAAAUUGUUGUAUUAUGUGAAAGCACUGUUAUUUUAUUGGAUGUUAGAUAAUAUUUGCUUUCUGUUACUGCUGAUUGCUGUGGGUAGUUAGCUAUGGGUAGUUAUAGAAGUUUUUGUAACUUCAUAGAAUUGAUUUUGCAUAUGACAAUCAUAUUAAUGAUAGUUUUAAGUUAGGAUUUUUGGAGGAUGAUUGGAAACGUAGUAACCUUUUGAUUCUGAAGCCUUACUUAAAAUUAUUCAUUAAUAUGAUGGGUCUAUGUAAAAGUGGAUGCAUAAAUGAUAGGCAUUAAUAAUUCGUGCAUGUAUGUCUGAUGUGUUUAGAUCGAUGUUUUCAGCAACUAAGAACGUUAUUGCUGAUAUGAACGGCAACAAUUGUGAAAUAUUGAAUAUGAAGAUUCAAUAUGUGCUGGAAAAGCAAGAAGCACUAGAAGCUCUUGACCAUAUUAUGGAAGAUCUUGAGGGUGUCGUGCGCCACCUUGAGCUAGCAGAAGACCGCCUAACGGCAUUUGAGCCGAAAACAGACAUUUGCAAUGCUGGUUCUAGCUCAGAAAGGGCUUUGAGCUCUAAGCGCAAGCGUAUUGAUUCGUUCAAUAUGUGGGAAUGCAAAGGAUCAAGUCCUUAUUGCAAGAGAUCAAAAGUUAACCAACACAAGAGAGGAAAACGUCCUCAAGUGAAGAAAAUGUCAAGGGUGAGUUGUUACAACUGUGACAAGAAGUGUCACUAUGCUCGCGACUGUCGUGAGCCAAAGUAGCUAAACACCUCUUGCACAUUUGAGAACUUUGCUUAUGUGUCGAGUUCUGCAUCAUUGGCUUAAUCCAAUCCUUUGUGGACUGUAGAUUCAGGAACGACAGACCAUGUAGCGAAGGAUAGAGGAUCCUUCGUGGAAUUCCGACGAGUAUCAAAUGGAACUAAGUGGAUCUAUGUGGGAAACAACUCCAGAGCUGAAGUUAAAGGGAUUGGCACCUGCCAAUUGAACAUGUGUGGUGGACGCAACUUGUUCCUACAUGAUGCUCUAUAUGCUCCGGAGAUUCGUCGAAAUUUUGUGUCUGUUUUGGCGUUGGUUAAGCUUGGUUUUUAGUAUGAACUUCCAUAAUAGAUGUGUAGAUUUGUAUUUGGAUACAAACUACUAUGAUUUUGGUCACUUUCUGGAUGGUUUUAUUGUACUAAAUAUUGACUGUGGUGAUGUCAAUAUGUUAUUCCCUUGUUUCACGUCUUCUACUUUAUAUGAUAAUGAUGUGAAUAUGGUGGCAUGCUAGACUUGGUCAUAUGGGCCAACAACAUAUGAAAAGACUAGUCAAAGAGGACUUGUUGGGCAAUAUUGAAAAAGUCGAUUUGCUUAUAUGUAAGCAUUGCCUAGAAGGGAAAACGACAAGGAAACCAUUUGGAAAAGGUAAAAGAGCUGAAUUUCCUCCGCAUUUAAUCCAUUCUGAUGUCUGUGGUUCAAUGAAUGUGAGAGGAAGGCAUGGGGCUGUUUAUUUCAUCACUUUUAUAGAUGAUUAUACUCGAUUCGGAUAUGUCUAUUUGAUUUCUCAUAAAUCUGAAGCAAUAAGUUGUUUUCAAAAGGUUUAUGAACUUGGUAGAAAAUCAAUUAGAUAAGAAAAUAAAAGCAUUAAGAUCCGAUCGAGGUCGAGAAUAUUUAUCUGAUGAGUUCAGAAAAUUAUGUGGUGAAAAGGAAUAGAAAUACAGUUGUCUAUUCCAUAUACUUCUCAACAAAAUGGUGUUGCAGAGAGAAGAAACAGAACCCUACUGGAAAUGGUUAAGCCCAUGAUGGCGCAUGCUAACUUACAUAUUACUUUUUGGAGUGAUGCGUUGUUAACUGCUGCCUAUAUACUUAACCGGGUGCCUUCCAAAUCAGUUAGCUCCACUCCAUAUGAGUCAUGGACAGGUAGAAAACCGGACUUAAGUUUACUUAAGUCAUGGGGUUAUGCUGCCUAUACUCAUGAAUCCUCUCACAAGUUUGGGAAAUUGAGUCCCAGAUAAAGGAAGAGUAUUUUAAUGAGAUACUUCGAACACUCGAAAGGGUAUGUGUUCGUAGGUGAGCAGGAAAGUGGGAGUAUAACUGAAUAUGAAUCACGGGAUGUCACAUUCUUAGUGGAUGAAUUUUCCUAAGAAGGGCGAAAUAGGAGAAGAUCACUCCCUAUUUGAAACCUUGGAUCAAGAUAAUGAUAUUAAUGGAGUUCGUCCAAGUGGGAGUAAUAUGAGAAGUGAUGAAUUGAAUUCAACUCAUUCUCAAUUACAACCACUUGAUGAGACGACAUCAUUACCUAAUCCAAGUGGGAGCAUAAUGGGAAAUGAUGUGCAAAGUGUACAAUCUCCCAUUAUGCGAACAAGUCGCCAAAGUAUUCCCCGUCGACGUUUUGGCAUUGAAGGGGAAACUUUUAUGGUUGCUCCACAAGAUGAGGAUGAGCCAAGAAAUAUUAAUGAGGCUCUGAAUUGCCCUAGUAAGGAAAAAUGGAUCAAUGCAAUGGAAGAGGAAAUGGAGUCAAUGAAAUCAAACCAAGUCUGGGAACUGGUUGAUCUGCCAAAGGGACGCAGAGCUAUUGGGAACAAAUGGGUUCUCAAAAUAAAGCGAAAGGCUGAUGGCUCGAUUGAAAGGCAUAAGGCUCGCCUUGUGGUGAAGGGGUAUAAUCAACAGGAAGGAAUUGAUUAUGAAGAUACGUUUUCUCCUGUAGUGAGAUUUACCUCAAUUCGCAUUAUUCUGGCAAUAGUGGCUAGUUUGGAUCUUGAAUUACAUCAAAUGGAUGUAAAGACUGCUUUCCUCAAUGGAGAAUUAGAGGAAGAAAUAUAUAUGGAACAACCUGUUGGUUUCAUAGUGAAAGGCCAAGAAGAAAAAGUAUGUCGACUUUUGAGGUCGAUAUAUGGUCUUAAGCAGUCAUCAAGACAAUGGUAUAUACGUUUUCAUAAUGCCAUAAUGGCAUAUGAUUUUACGAUGAUUGAUGAGGAUCAUUGUGUAUAUAUCAAAAGAUCCAAGGAUCAAUUUGUGAUCAUAUCAUUAUAUGUUGAUGAUAUACUAAUUGCCGGAAGCAAUAUGGAGUUUGUUAAGACCGUCAAGAGUUGGUUGUCUUCCAACUUUGAGAUGAAGGAUAUGGGUGAGGCUGCAUACAUUCUUGGAGUUAAGAUUUCAAGAGAUCGUUCGAAGAGAUCGUUGUCUCUUUCACAAGAAACUUAUAUAAACAAAGUUCUAGAACGGUUUCGUAUGCAAGAUUGUAAACCCAUAGACACUCCUAUUGCAAAAGGUGAAGGAUUGAGCCAUAGACUGUGUCCAAGGACUCCACAAGAGAAGGAACAAAUGAAACAUGUUCCUUAUGCAAGUGCUGUUGGGAGCUUGAUGUACGCUAUGAUGUGUACAAGACCCGACAUAUGUUUUGCAGUUGGAAUGGUGAGUAGAUACCAAUCAAAUCCAGGUCCAGCACAUUGGAAAGCCGUUAAGAGAAUACUGAGGUAUCUGAAGGGAACUGCUGAUUACAAGUUGAAUUACCAAGGAAAGGAUUUGCGACUUGAAGGCUAUUCAGAUGCUGAUUGGGGAGGAGAUUUAGAUGAAAGAAAAUCUACCUCAGGAUUUGCUUUCUUACUGAGCAAUGGCGCCAUAUCAUGGAGUAGUAAGAAGCAAACAUGCAUAGCCUUAUCCACGAUGGAAGCUGAGUUCGUGGCAUUAUCAACAGCAGUACAAGAAGCAGUUUGGCUUAAGAGAUUCUUGGAUCAUUUAGGUGUUAUUGAGAAAGCUGCAAAUCAAUUAUUGGUUAAUUGUGAUAGCCAAGCAGCUAUAGCAUACACCAAAGAUCCAAAGUAUCAUGGCAAGACCAAACAUAUAGAUACCAAGUAUAACUUUGUCAAGGAUAUGGUUGCACGAAAGGAUGUGAACUUACAAUACAUAUCUACGCAUAGAAUGGUAGCAGAUCCUAUGACAAAGCCAAUACCUAGAGAUGUGUUUUGUGGUCAUGUAAAAUCUCUAGGAUUGCGUAGAGUCUGAUGUACUGAAUUGUAAUUUCCCUGAGUUGUUCACAUUUAUGAAAUUUUGUUUUUCAUUGAUUAAUGCCUAUGAAUCUUUGUAUGAUCUUUAUGCAUCUUAAUACUUAGUGUAUUAUUAUAAGUUGAGGAAGUAUGUCGGACAGAUAAAAGAUUAGCCCACUCACACGGGUAAUCGCCUCUAUUUGCUAUGUGAUAAAUAGAGAUGAGACUGUUUUUAAGCUUAUUAUCUAGGUGAUAAUUGAGAGCUCAAGCUUAAAACACGUAUGUCGCCUUAACUGAGUGUUAAGAUGAGGACAUAAUACUUACUAUGUCCGAAAGUAAAAUACCCCACAUAUUUUACUUCAUCUGUCUAUGAUGCCAGAUGUGAGUUCUGAUGAAUUUUGUGAUUGAGUAGAUACGUGAACUCAAGUUAGACAUUAGGUAUGUCUGAACUAUCAUCUGUACGGUAUUGAAAAGUGUAGACAUACGCUCCAUGGGAAAGGAGUUAAUACCGUAAUACGUAUUUCAUACUACGUAUGCAUAAGACGACCAAUAAGAGUGGCAAAAAGUUUGAUAUCAAUUUUUAUGACGUGUGAGACUCUUGAGGAAAAGAGUUCCUCAAUUUUUUAGUCCCCUUAGGACUCUUCCUUAUUCUCAAGAUUUCUAUUUAGUGUUUGCUAUCUUAGGGUGUUGCCAAUGGUCAUGAGAUGAUUCGAUCUAAUGGGGCAUUUCUAGAAAAGCAAGCUGGACUGAAAUUGAGAGUUUGAAGGAAAGAGGAAGAUCGAUUUUGGAAAAUCACAUUGUAGUUUUUGUAUUCACUGGUCGACCAAUUAUGAUUGUCUUUGUGAUAAUUAUAAUUGUGAAUACAAUAUAUAUCAUUGUUUAAAAGAGAUCAAGAGAGAUAUAAAUGUGAUCGAUCGAUCUAGGGUACUGCAUACUAAAUCUACUCGGAGUGUGACGCCCAUUAUGAGCUGCUAUAUAUUCCUAACAGAUGUAUAGCAACGAGCUCUCAAAGUAUGCUGGUCGCACGGAUUAUUCACCAGUAUGAAUGUUGAAGAGAGGUAAAGAGAAUCCUGUUCGGCCCACCAUGUGCGAGUGGGAGAUGAAAGCUUUAUUAGAUGGGCUUAAGGCCCGUCCGCCCAAGUUGGGCCCAAAAAGCUCGGCCCAUGGGAAUAGGGCCCGUGGAAGGAGAGAGGUAUAAAAGGGAGGAGAGAGAGAAAAAAAAAUAUACCGUUUUUUUUAGAAAAAGAAAAGACGUACGUUCUCUCCACGCUCUCUCUCUCCUAGAAGAAAAGACAGUAAGCAUACGGCUUGUUCUUUCUCCCUUCAAGGCUUCAUCGGAUCGAAUUGCUCAGUUUCUCUUCCUCCAUCAACGUCGGUGUUUAAUCUGUGGCUAAAAGGUACGCUCGAAUCCGUGGUGUGCUUUUGGAUCGGUGAUGCAUGUUCGUUUUCCCGGGCUUCGUCUUCCGCAUUGAUUUAGGGGUUCGAUUUAGUGUCGAAUCCGGUAUUUCGGGGAUCAGUCAUUCCCAACACCAUCUCAGUCGCGUUUUGAUAACCCCUCGAGUUAUCGCUUGCCCUCCGGUCGACGCCCACCGGAUGUUCGACGAAAUGUCUCUAUGAUACUCACGUGAGUCGUGUUUGCCUUGCUGAAACCGCAGCCCCUUGUGUUCAUAGUUUGUUAGUUUUUACGAGUCAUUGUCACGAUUCCUCGCGUCUUUCCUUCAUUACGUUCACUUUCGUGGGCGUGGUGCCCAACCGUGACUUUCGUAGAGAAUGAGAGUGGAUGGUGGGCAAAUGAGGAGCGUUGGGUUCUGCAUCUUCAGUAAGAACGAUAAAGGUUUAGUCUUAAUCUUGCUGGCUUUUGCUUAAGACGAGUGCAUAUGUCGUGGGCUUAAAAGGUUUAGAAUUAUGGGCUUAGCAAAAAAUGGAAAUUGGUUCAAGGGGCCGAUCCGAAUUCCCGACCAAACCCGAAUCUCCAGGUUUAGAAUUAUGGGCUUAGCAAUACAAAUCCGUGAAAUUUGAAUUGCGAUGUCCGACUUUGGAGUUAUUAAGCUGAAGUAAAGUUUGGCGAAAAUUGGUUUGGAAUAAAGAUUUAGUCGGAACGAAAUUCUAAAGUUUUGCGCUCAAACUUUGCGUUGCGGAUAUCUUUGAAUAAUCAGUUUGAAUAGGUAAUUCGUUGACCCGUGGGAGCUUUGUCAUUGCCCUACUUGUAUUGGUGAUUGCAACCUUUCCAAACGGCAUUGAAUAUCAAUGUUUUCACGUACGUUCCUCAAUUGGCAAAGUGUCUCCUCACCGACACUAUUGAACUUCAAGAAAAUUGAUUUUUUUUUUUAAUUAAAUGCAGUUUAGGAAAAACGACUUGAAGAGCAAAGAUGGCGUUCCAUAUGGCCACGGUUUCUCCCAUUUCGUUUUUGCCACGAGAGCCAUGUACUUUGCUAUGCUGUUGAUUGGUUGGAAUACUAAUCAUCCGAUGAAAAAGUAUGCUUCCCCUCUUGCAGAUGUUUAGCUUGCACUGACUGUUUGCAUUUCAAUUUCUUAAGAUAAUCAUUUUUCUUGUCCGUCCUAAUGCCACAAUUCCAGCAUUGGAUGUGGCUAUUAUAGGAAAAACCCUUUCAUCAUUGUCAUCAACAUCUGUUUUGGUGGAGCUUCUAUCAAGUUGUUUAAUAUGUGUUCCUCCAUUCGCUUCUUUACCACUUGUAGUAAUAGUAAUGCUAAUCAUUAGUGAAGAGUUAUUGUAGCUUCUUCACUGGCUCAUGUUUUUUUCAAGGGAAAAGCUGGAGUACCCUUGACAAGGAAGAAGUCCUUGACUAGAAAGGCAGUGAUUUCAUGCUCUUGCUAACGCCCUUUUGCUGGUGGACUAUUGAUGUGGGUUGGACAAGCACUUGGGUCAGGGUUGUGAACGAAUGGCUAGUGGUUUGUGUUUAUUGCAAGUACCCAAAGAAACAAAGAUAAAUCUAGAUUGCGCAAACCUCUGAUGCCUCUUUUGAAGGUACUUCAUCCCAAGCGAAGACUGUAUUAAAGUCAGAUUUCUAAUGCAAUAGGGUUCAAUCUUAAUGCAGUGCAGAUGCUUGUGGCUCAAAUGCUAUGGAAAUGCAGAGAAUUUGAUGGAAUUCCGUGAAAAGUUUGGAAUGUCUUGGAAUUCUUUAACUAGUGUUGGUCCGAUUCAGUUGCCAUCCAUGCGACAUGAGUUCCAAGUCGCAACUAGCACAGGGAGCUGUCCUCGGAAGCUCUGACUCAACUAGAAAACCAACCGCGAUAAGAGACUGGAACUUGAUCCAUUUGUGGGGCGAAGUCUAUCUGCAGUUGAAAAAAAGGGAAAAGUAGAAAAAGAGAAUGGAAGUUAGUGAUUGACAAGGCAAUGCAUUUUGCCCCUGUGGAUAUACUCGCAUAGGGAUGAAUUUGGUUUUCUACCAUACGAGAGAUUGACAUGCCAAAGAGUUUUGUGGUAUAAAACUUUUUUUAGCUGAUUUCGGUGCAUAGGGCAUUUGUUUAGUUGAGUAUGGAGUUCAUUACUACUGUCUCAGUAGAAAGUGCGACAUUUAACCCUGAAACUUUCUCAAGGAUAAUGCUAAGUGUAUAAAAUGAAUACGUGUUCACAAAACCUUGUUCAAUAAUACACUCUCCAGCAGACGAAACCUAUGUACACAAAAGCAAGAAAUAUGAACAGUCAAGACUUUCUUAAGCAAAAUCUCGAACUGGUAAAUUUCGGAUACUCCACCGGUUUAAAACUGAUGGACCUAUCAUCGAGUGCAAGAGGGCAUUUUUGUAAUUUUGCACGGAACAAGCUUUCUUGGCCAAAGUCAGUUUAGCCGCUAUAUUAACUAUUAAGGGAGUAAUCCCUGAUUAAAUGUUGCAAAUCAUGUUCAGGGGCCAAGGAUAUACGUGGUUGACUUGCGUGGUUACAUUGGCGCUUCAACAAGGUAAAGUUUCUUUUACCACUUUCAUGAUUUUUUUUGGUAAAUUUUACAUCGCAUGAUAACAAGCAUAUCAUGUCAUGGCCCGUACUUAGAGCAUGAAUGAAAAUAGAUUAUCUUGAGGCAUACUAAUUCAUAAAGCUGGAUUAGGUGCUGGAUGGAUUGUCAAUUUGGUAGUCAUUUUGGCUAUGCACUGAAAAUGUAUGUGGGUAAAUUAGUCAAAUGAUAUGUUAGUAUGUUGAAUAUGAUAUGUGGAUAUUGGAUCAAUGCUCAUGAUCGGCCUAGGCAUUGGAAUAUGAUAUAGGUCCAUUGACUGGUUAUUUUAUGUGAGUUAAUCAUAGCCGAUGUAGUUUUUGGGGUUUAACUAUAGUGAAUGUAGUUUUUGAGCUUUCUCACAUGGUGAAGUGUGACAUUAGUGUUUCGACAUGAGUAAUAGAUUUGAUAUCAAUAUGUUGAGAUUUGAGGUGAUAUAUAAUAUGUGAUGUUGCAUUAUGUAAUUUAAAUGUGAAUAUUUGUGCUAGUUUGAUAUGCUGUAUAAUCGACAUAAAUUCUGCAUCAAUCAUAACUUGAUCCUAUAGAAGUGGUGAUUGUCAGAUACAGAACCAUAUGAUUUUCCUCAACCCCUUUUAUAACAAUUUCAGGGUCAAAAAAUGAGGAAAAUUUAUCGAAUGCAUGUGGAGAGCAAUUUGAAGGUAGUAGGAUACUUUACUUCUGGACACGGACUUUGGGAUUGGGACAAAAAUAUUUUUAAAUAACCAGAACGAAUUCUUUACAUAAACCCAGGAUGGAUAUUAUCAUGAAGACUGAUGAUUCCUUUAGGACUUCUACUCUGGCCACAAUAGUAACAAGUGAUAGGCUUCAUGACUCAUGAGAAGGGAAAUAAAUCCUUAAAAAUAACACACAACUGAGUAUACAUGAGUAAAAAACAAUCAUUAUUUAGAUGAAAUUUUCCUUGAAAGCACUAUUGAAUCUUGCUUGAUAAAACACUGAAUACAGAAUCUAGAAACUUAGGGCCUGUUUGAUAACCAUUCGAACAGUGCCAGAUUCUAUUCUUUUGUUCCCGGGAGUAAUUUUGAAACAGAGUUGUGUUUGGUAAAAUUUUUGUUCCCGGGAACAAAUUUCUAUUUUUUUAUUCUUGGAAGUAGAUUUGGAACCAAAUCAAGAAUAAUAAUAAUAAUAAAAAAAAUCGAUUCAUGUUCUCAGGAAGAAAUCUAAUAAUCAAGGCCAUAUUCUUUUCUUCUUCCGUUUUGUCUUCUUCUUCUUCUUCACUUUUCUUCUUCUUCAUCUAUUGUCGCCUUUGCGGUUGGUAUCUAUUGCCCACUGCCAACGGUCGCCGGCAACCGGUUUGGCGAACUCGCCGGAGGCAAGCCUAGCCAUUGGCGAGUCUGGGUGAGCCUUGCGAUCUAGCGAGGCUGAGCCUAGCCAGUGGCCAUGCGGGCAUCGCCCCACCCCGGCGAGGCUCGCCAGCCCCGCCAGUGGCUAGGCAGGCCUCACCUAGCUGCCGGCAAGGCUCGGCCAACGAGGGCCGGCGACACUUUACCAAAUGCAAUUCUAUUCUAGAAUAAGAAAUUUGGCAUAAUUAUCAAACGGCUUAAAAUGCUUAAAAAUUGUUCUUGUGAACAAAAUAAAAAAGAAUCAUUUCUGAUUAUAAAUCGUUACCGGGAACAGAAUUGUUACCAAACACGCUCUUAUUGUACAAUGCGAUCACUCCUGGAAGGUUUGCUGUCGUCGUAAAGGGAACUCUUUUAUCCCCCAGGAUAGCUGCAACUAUGCUAUUUUUUUUUUUUUCCGGGUGUACAUCCUUGGUAAGCGCUCGGUCAUGAUCGCAAAAGCUGCACGUACUCACCAAUGUUUCGAGUUUUUCCAUUGUGUAAGGACAUUCGACGCUCUCUGAUCUACUGCUAGGCCAAGCUAACCAUCUUGCUUCUAUUUUCAUUUCACAAGAUAGAACCUUCAAACCAUCCAGAGCAAUGCGAAGCACGAGAUUAAGGUCCGGCAUGCGUCCAAGCUUAUUGGAAAUUUGCAUAUGCUGAGAAGGCAACGGCAACAAGUUCAAAACCUGCAGACAACGGUCACAGUACCUCUGGUUGAAUAGCUCAUAACCCCCAUCUUUACUGGCAAUUUUAACCCCUAAUAAUGGAUUUUUUGGGGACACGCAACAAACUUGUAAGCCACUUCGAAAACAGAAAUUCAUUGCCCUAAUUCUUUCCAACAGGGAGACCAGACUGUAGAUAAGAUUUUCAACUUCUCCCAUUGAGCAGGGUGAUUUUACGAUCCCACGGCCAAACAGGAUGGCCUCACUCGUUGAAGCAAGACAUCUCGUCUCUGAAGCGUUAAAUAUUGUCGAGACAGAGAUCUCUUUGAUGUAACUAGGCAUGCAUUGGAGAUAAACAUCGUACUCUGUUUGAAUCAUCCCGCACUCUAUAAGCAAGUCAAUAGGAUAUUCAGAGAGUCUCAGAGAGGAUCCCAGCUCCCCUCCGCUCAUAAUCUUGCCAUAUAAUUCAGAUCUUUGAGCACUCAAAUAACUGGUGGAUCUUUUUCUGCAGUUUUCCAGUUGGAGUCUUAUGGCGCUACUGUUAAUCUUUACCACUACAUUCUCCAGGUUUUCG